rnacentral:rRNA from 1 species
UACGUAGGGACCAAGCGUUGUUCGGAUUUACUGGGCGUAAAGGGCUCGUAGGCGGCCAACUAAGUCAGACGUGAAAUCCCUCGGCUUAACCGGGGAACUGCGUCUGAUACUGGAUGGCUUGAGGUUGGGAGAGGGAUGCGGAAUUCCAGGUGUAGCGGUGAAAUGCGUAGAUAUCUGGAGGAACACCGGUGGCGAAGGCGCUCUGCUAGGCCGCAACUGACACUGAGGGACGAAAGCUAGGGGAGCGAAUGGG